rnacentral:rRNA from 1 species
CCAUGUCCAGGGUGAAGUUCAGGUAACACUGAAUGGAGGCCCGAACCCACGCACGUUGAAAAGUGCGGGGAUGAGGUGUGGGUAGCGGAGAAAUUCCAAUCGAACCUGGAGAUAGCUGGUUCUCCCCGAAAUAGCUUUAGGGCUAGCCUUAAGUGUAAGAGUCUUGGAGGUAGAGCACUGAUUGGACUAGGGGUCCUCAUCGGAUUACCGAAUUCAGUCAAACUCCGAAUGCCAAUGACUUAUCCUUAGGAGUCAGACUGCGAGUGAUAAGAUCCGUAGUCAAAAGGGAAACAGCCCAGACCGCCAGCUAAGGUCCCAAAGUGUGUAUUAAGUGGAAAAGGAUGUGGAGUUGCUUAGACAACUAGGAUGUUGGCUUAGAAGCAGCCACCAUUUAAAGAGUGCGUAAUAGCUCACUAGUCGAGUGACUCUGCGCCGAAAAUGUACCGGGGCUAAAUACACCACCGAAGCUGCGGAUUGAUACCAAUGGUAUCAGUGGUAGGGGAGCGUUCUAAGGACAGUGAAGUCAGACCGUAAGGACUGGUGGAGUGCUUAGAAGUGAGAAUGCCGGUAUGAGUAGCGAAAGACGGGUGAGAAUCCCGUCCACCGAAUGCCUAAGGUUUCCUGAGGAAGGCUCGUCCGCUCAGGGUUAGUCAGGACCUAAGCCGAGGCCGACAGGCGUAGGCGAUGGACAACAGGUUGAUAUUCCUGUACCACCUCUUUAUCGUUUGAGCAAUGGAGGGACGCAGAAGGAUAGAAGAAGCGUGCGAUUGGUUGUGCACGUCCAAGCAGUUAGGCUGAUAAGUAGGCAAAUCCGCUUAUCGUGAAGGCUGAGCUGUGAUGGGGAAGCUCCUUAUGGAGCGAAGUCUUUGAUUCCCCGCUGCCAAGAAAAGCUUCUAGCGAGAUAAAAGGUGCCUGUACCGCAAACCGACACAGGUAGGCGAGGAGAGAAUCCUAAGGUGUGCGAGAGAACUCUGGUUAAGGAACUCGGCAAAAUGACCCCGUAACUUCGGGAGAAGGGGUGCUUUCUUAACGGAAAGCCGCAGUGAAUAGGCCCAAGCGACUGUUUAGCAAAAACACAGCUCUCUGCGAAGCCGUAAGGCGAAGUAUAGGGGGUGACACCUGCCCGGUGCUGGAAGGUUAAGGAGAGGGGUUAGCGUAAGCGAAGCUCUGAACUGAAGCCCCAGUAAACGGCGGCCGUAACUAUAACGGUCCUAAGGUAGCGAAAUUCCUUGUCGGGUAAGUUCCGACCCGCACGAAAGGUGUAACGAUUUGGGCACUGUCUCAACCAGAGACUCGGUGAAAUUAUAGUACCUGUGAAGAUGCAGGUUACCCGCGACAGGACGGAAAGACCCCGUGGAGCUUUACUGUAGCCUGAUAUUGAAUUUUGGUACAGUUUGUACAGGAUAGGCGGGAGCCAUUGAAACCGGAGCGCUAGCUUCGGUGGAGGCGCUGGUGGGAUACCGCCCUGACUGUAUUGAAAUUCUAACCUACGGGUCUUAUCGACCCGGGAGACAGUGUCAGGUGGGCAGUUUGACUGGGGCGGUCGCCUCCUAAAGUGUAACGGAGGCGCCCAAAGGUUCCCUCAGAAUGGUUGGAAAUCAUUCGUAGAGUGCAAAGGCAUAAGGGAGCUUGACUGCGAGACCUACAAGUCGAGCAGGGACGAAAGUCGGGCUUAGUGAUCCGGUGGUUCCGCAUGGAAGGGCCAUCGCUCAACGGAUAAAAGCUACCCCGGG